CCUCAUGCUAAAUUUAUAAUUUCUAUCACAGAGUACUUGAUAUAUCACACCAUGGCUGCAGCAAAUCUGAGCACAGUUGGCUUCUUUGCAGGAACGUCAAUCAUAUGGAUGCUUCUUCAGUGGAAUUAUCAUGUGAAUCCCCAUAGUGCCCAAGCUGUGAAGCAGUCAUGAUUGAUGCUUGGGCUGUUAGCUUUAUGUGGUCCAGGGGGAGGAAGGAUACCUUAGAAACUAUGCAGUUGAAGACCCAAGAUUUGAACGACGCUAUUGUCACACCGAAAGUGUGUUCGAUGAAAUGCCUCCAACAUUCGGAGGUUUCUAUUUGUGAAAGUUUGCAGGCUAAGACAAAUGAUAGCUAUUCAAGGAGCAAGAGGCUGCUCAACAUAAAGCAUCAACAGCAACCUCUGGAACAGCUGAAAAUGCUCUACUGGAAGCUAAGUCAGUGACUGAUCUUAAAUCUAAAGAUUUGGAGAAGAAAAGGGAGCUUUGUUCACUGAUACAAGAAGUUGGAGUGCUUUUGUGAAGGCUUUUGCGAAUCACUUGAAGUGUUAGUACUUUUGUGAAUGAUUUUGUAAAGUGUUCGCAAAUAUGUGCAAAACAUAAUAACAUGUGUAGGUUUUGUGAAUGAUUUUGUUGUGGUGCUUGUUGAUGGUUUAUGUGAUGUGGAUCUAUCAUUGUGCAAUACUAAUUAAAUUUGUAUAUCUAUGUGAUUAUCUGUAUAAAAA